AUGUCAUUCAAAUGUAUCAUGUUACACAGGUAAUACUGGUCGUUAUUGAAGUAAAACAAAAUCUAUUAAAUGAAGUCAUAGCAUGUUGGAUUUAAACCUUUGCAGAGAAUUUCCCAACUUGUGAAAUAAUCUCACAACAUCAGAAGACAAAGUUUGGCGACUUUUAUAAACCGGUAAAUUCGAUGGACUGUUAGAAAAAAAGCAAUAUAUCAAGAUCAAAAUUAUCAACUGCACAUGCAAUCUGUAUAAUAUAACGGCACUAUCAAAUGUGGAUUAAUUUUGCUGAAAAACAAAUAAAAAAGGAGAAUUUCUCAACUUGUGGAAUAAUAUCUAAACAGAAGAACAAAAACUUUCGGCGACUUUUACAAGCCUUGUAUCAACAUCACUGCUGGUGAUCCGAUGGAAAACAAAAUUGGUGUCGAGUCGUCACUGGUUCAGACGUACUUAUAAUAUAAUUAUUUCUGUGACUGCAUCUUACAUUAAUUUGUAGGAUCCUUUACAAAAGAUAAUUCAGCUGAUUGAUCUGUAACAAUUCUAUCUUCAUGCCUAAUACAUCAUGUACUGUGUUACGACGCUAGAUAAAAAUUGUCAAGGAAAGGUAACACACGACCACCGAAACUUUUAUAGAGCCUAGGUGUUUGAGUGGUCUAGCGCGUCGGGCAUAGUGCAAGGCGAUUUGGUGCCACGAUAUCUCAAUAGCAUGAGUUUGAAUCCCGGGCAUAGUGCAAGGCUUCCGCAAAUUUACAGAUCUAGAUAUAUAUAACAUUGUUGGGCUGUUGUUUAGACGAAUUCUAUAAUAUAUAUCAUAUAUAAAUGUGCUUUAUCUAAAUAAAAAAAAUAUGGAUCCUUAAUAUCGUGCUUAAAUGCUUAAAACAAACUGAAAAAAAAAAGAAUUGAAUACCCAAAAUGGGAGAUUAGAAUUUGUCAUCGUUAAAACAAAAGAUUAGUUGGAAGUAUAAAA